rnacentral:rRNA from 1 species
GUUCCUGGCUCAGGAUGAACGCUAGCGGCAGGCCUAACACAUGCAAGUCGAGGGGCAGCGGGAUUGAAGCUUGCUUCAAUUGCCGGCGACCGGCGCACGGGUGCGUAACGCGUAUGCAACCUACCCAUAACAGGGGGAUAACACUGAGAAAUCGGUACUAAUAUCCCAUAACAUCAAGAGGGGCAUCCCUUUUGGUUGAAAACUCCGGUGGUUAUGGAUGGGCAUGCGUUGUAUUAGCUGGUUGGUGG